UACGAAGGGGGCAAGCGUUGUUCGGAAUUACUGGGCGUAAAGGGCGCGUAGGCGGCUUAUCAAGUCAGGCGUGAAAUUCCCGGGCUCAACCUGGGGGCUGCGCUUGAUACUGAUGAGCUUGAGUGCGGGAGAGGAUAGUGGAAUUCCCAGUGUAGAGGUGAAAUUCGUAGAUAUUGGGAAGAACACCGGUGGCGAAGGCGGCUAUCUGGCCCGUAAUUGACGCUGAGGCGCGAAAGCGUGGGGAGCAAACAGG
rnacentral:rRNA from 1 species